AAUGCCCCUAGCCAUUACGCCUGGAACGUGAGUGGGUCAAAGCUCGGCCGGCAAAGGAUGGCCCGGCCCCGUAUCAGGUUUUAGGGGGUGUAAAGUACCCUCUAGCCAUCAACGCGUACGGGUGUUGGGAGACAUUGCCCGGAGAUGGAUUCUGAGACACGAAUCCAGACCCUACGGGGUGCAGCAGGCGCGAAAACUUGGCAAUGCGAGAAAUCGUGACCAGGGAACUCCAAGUGCGUAGGGUAAGACCUACGCUUUUCUUGACUCUUCAAAGGUCUUGGAAUAAGGGGUGGGUAAGGACGGUGCCAGCCGCCGCGGUAAUACCGGCGCCUCAAGUGGUAGUCGCUUUUAUUGGGCCUAAAACGUCCGUAGCCGGUCUGGUGCAUUCGUGGGUAAAUCAACCCGCUCAACGGGUUGAAUUCUGCGAGCACGGCCAGACUUGGGACCGGGAGAGGUGUGGGGUACUCUCAGGGUAGGGGUAAAAUCCUGUCAUCCUGAGAGGACCACCUGUUGCGAAGGCGCCACACUAGAACGGAUCCGACGGUCAGGGACGAAACCUAGGGGCACGAACCGGAUUAGAUACCCGGGUAGUCCUAGGUGUAAACGCUGUGGACUUGAUGUUGGGGGCGCUCCGAGCGCUCUCAGUGUCGAAGCGAAGGUGAUAAGUCCACUGCCUGGGGAGUACGGUCGCAAGCUGAAACUCAAAUGAAUUGACGG
rnacentral:rRNA from 1 species